CACAUAACUUAGCUUAGGCUUGCUGGUAGGCCAGCCAAACAAAAUCAGGCAAGAGGAGAGAAUUCUGUAGCUUGUAUAUGCUUUUCGAAGUCAGUCAAAGAUUCCAUUAGAACAACAGUAGCAAGAAAUAAGUUGCAAACUGCAGCCUCCUAAUGAAGAAUGAUACAGUUAUUAAAGCUACUUUUGAACCACCAUUAUAGCACACAAGUGGCUUAAUUCCUAAUGUGACACCACCUGCUUAUUCUUCUCAAAAAAGAAAAAUCCUAAUUUCUAGUAAAG
rnacentral:misc_RNA from 1 species